rnacentral:lncRNA from 1 species
UGAUCUUUUCCUGUUCUCUACCCAUGAUUUUUCUUGCUGCUGUCCCGUUCUAUGUAGCAAGGAACCUAGCUUUAGGUUUUCCAGAAUGGAUGGGAAUUUUGGGGCACUGACAAAUUAUAUAGCGAUAUUGAUGGCAGUUUUGGUAUGGUAACGUAUAAUAGUGCUCCAACUUUUCGGAAUAAAAACAAUAGAUUCCUGGCUACAUAGUCCUCCUAUGGCACAAUUUGUCAUAAAGCACUUGGCCUGAGCAUGUACUUUGAAAAUGAAAACAAUUCAUGUAUCAUACACAAUAAAUCUUAUUUCUUUUUCCUUAUGCCCGAAGGUUUCACAAGAUGUACCCAAGUACUCAAUGGUGGCUGGAGAAAGAGCUGUGCUUCGCGGUCUGAAUUUGGAGGGUCUUCGUCGUCGCGGAUUUAAUGUCACAGAGGUUGGCAAUCUAUGAGUUUUUAAUUUUGAUGGCUCCAUAUAUAGCUGCAAAACAGUUCAUAAUUUGUAACUAAGAGAUUAGAGAUCGAAAGCAUUCUCUUUCGUGGCAAUAGACAGAAUCCUUAAUAUCCCUUGUUAACUUUUAACAAUUUUCUUGCACAGCCUCUGAGUACAUAUGAGAUUGCAUGUCAUCAUGUUACUGUGCUUUUCAUUCAUUAUGUAUUAAAGCAUAAUUAAGUUAAAAGUUAAUGGAACUUAGAAAGUUGCAUUUGUUUAUAAAAUAUGAAAAGAAAACGGCCAUGUUCCAGAAGAAUAAUUGAAUUUCAGUAGGUUUUGUCUGUAAAUAUAUUUUCUGACUACUACUCAACACAGAAACUUUUGUUGAGGUAUAAAGCCAUUUUUAAGUAUACCUAAAUCCAAUUUGUACAUACCUGAUCCUUAGAGGAACGAAUAUUUGAUUGCUUGAAUAAUCUGUGCGAAAAUGUCAAUGACCCCUGUGAGGAAAGGGGAGUAGUGGUGAGUUUAGUUAGGGAUGAGGUUUAGGGAUGAGGUUCAAUGGAGGUGGGAUGAGGUUCAAUGGAGGUGGGUUUUUUUUUUUUUUCUAGGCAAUGAUGCUGUUGCUUCUUAACUGAAGUGGCUUUACUGGAUAAGUAUUGAAAGAAAGCAUUUUUAGUUUUACAGUAUAUAAGUGAAACUUUACCGUUCCUUUCUUUCAAUUUUGACAUUAACCAAAAUUAUACAAUUGGUAAUGACAAUAACAAUUCAGGCUGUUUUCAAAACAACUCAUAUUAAGCGCAUUAUCCUGAAAUUGUUGAGUUUGGUAACUUUUUGUCUCCUUCAAUAGCAUUUUUGAUGGUUCUCUUAUGUUUAGUAUCCUUGAUAAAGUGAGAGAAGUUAUUUUUGACGCUAUUGAGAUCCAUUGGUUCCUUUUAUCCGAUCGUGCCUUCUAAAAAAACUUUUUUCUCUCUUCCAUUUUGAGCAAGGAUCUAGAUUAAGAGUUUGAGAACAGCUUACCGGAAGAUAUUUAUGCCUGUUGAUGCCCAUGCUGUGGGUUUUGAAGAACGUCUUACUGAAGUGGUAACCUAUCUUUCUCCCUCUAUCGCUUGCAUGCACAUACUUCUUC